GUGAGGAAUCUUGCGCAAUGGGGGCAACCCUGACGCAGCAACGCCGCGUGAGUGAUGAAGGCCUUCGGGUCGUAAAGCUCUGUCAGGCGGGAAGAAAGUUUUCAGGGUGAACAAUCCUGGAGAUUGACGGUACCGUCAGAGGAAGCACCGGCUAACUCCGUGCCAGCAGCCGCGGUAAUACGGAGGGUGCUAGCGUUGUUCGGAAUUAUUGGGCGUAAAGAGCGUGUAGGCGGCCUCGUAAGUCAGAUGUGAAAGCCCUUGGCUUAACCAAGGAAGUGCAUUUGAAACUGCCUGGCUUGAGUACGGGAGGGGAAAGCGGAAUUCCCGGUGUAGAGGUGAAAUUCGUAGAUAUCGGGAGGAACACCGGUGGCGAAGGCGGCUUUCUGGACCGAUACUGACGCUGAGACGCGAAAGCGUGGGGAGCAAACAGGAUUAGAUACCCGAGUAGUCC
rnacentral:rRNA from 1 species